CAAAUGAAUUGACGGGACCGCACAAGCGGUGGAUGAUGUGGUUUAAUUCGAUGCAACGCGAAAACUUACCACCUUUGACAUGUACGGAAUCCUUUAGAGAUAGAGGAGUGCUCGAAAGAGAGCCGUAACACAGGUGCUGCAUGGCUGUCGUCAGCUCGUGUCGUGAGAUGUUGGGUUAAGUCCCGCAACGAGCGCAACCCUUGUCAUUAGUUGCUACAUUCAGUUGGGCACUCUAAUGAGACUGCCGGUGACAAACCGGAGGAAGGUGGGGAUGACGUCAAGUCCUCAUGGCCCUUAUAGGUGGGGCUACACACGUCAUACAAUGGAUGGUACAAAGGGUCGCCAACCCGCGAGGGGGAGCCAAUCCCAUAAAGCCAUUCGUAGUCCGGAUCGCAGUCUGCAACUCGACUGCGUGAAGUCGGAAUCGCUAGUAAUCGUGGAUCAGAAUGUCACGGCGAAUACGUUCCCGGGUCUU
rnacentral:rRNA from 1 species